CUCUCUACGGGGCGCAGCAGUGAGGAAUAUUGGUCAAUGAACGCAAGUCUGAACCAGCCAAGUAGCGUGCAGGAUGACGGCCCUCCGGGUUGUAAACUGCUUUUAGUUGGGAAUAAAAGGGGGCUCGUGAGCCCCGUAUUGUAUGUACCAUCAGAAAAAGGACCGGCUAAUUCCGUGCCAGCAGCCGCGGUAAUACGGAAGGUCCGGGCGUUAUCCGGAUUUAUUGGGUUUAAAGGGUGCGUAGGCGGUCCGUUAAGUCAGCGGUAAAAUUGCGGGGCUCAACCCCGUCGAGCCGUUGAAACUGG
rnacentral:rRNA from 1 species